UCUCGUAGUGACCUGCGGAGGGAUCAUUACUGAGUGAGGGCCUUCGGGCUCGACCUCCAACCCUUUGUGAACACAACUUGUUGCUUCGGGGGCGACCCUGCCGUUUCGACGGCGAGCGCCCCCGGAGGCCUUCAAACACUGCAUCUUUGCGUCGGAGUUUAAGUAAAUUUAAACAAAACUUUCAACAACGGAUCUCUUGGUUCUGGCAUCGAUGAAGAACGCAGCGAAAUGCGAUAAGUAAUGUGAAUUGCAGAAUUCAGUGAAUCAUCGAAUCUUUGAACGCACAUUGCGCCCUCUGGUAUUCCGGAGGGCAUGCCUGUUCGAGCGUCAUUUCACCACUCAAGCCUGGCUUGGUAUUGGGCGCCGCGGUGUUCCGCGCGCCUCAAAGUCUCCGGCUGAGCUGUCCGUCUCCAAGCGUUGUGAUUUCAUUAAUCGCUUCGGAGUGCGGGCGGCCGCGGCCGUUAAAUCUUUCACAAGGUUGACCUCGGAUCAGGUAGGGAUACCCGCUGAACUUAAGCAUAUCAAAA
rnacentral:rRNA from 1 species